rnacentral:tRNA from 1 species
GGUGCUAUAGCUCAGUUGGUAGAGCAUCGGACUGAAAAUCCGUGAGUCGGUGGUUCGAGCCCACUUAGCACCA